rnacentral:rRNA from 1 species
UACGUAGGGGGCUAGCGUUGUCCGGAAUCAUUGGGCGUAAAGCGCGUGUAGGCGGUUCGGUAAGUCCGCUGUGAAAGUCGGGGGCUCAACCCUCGGAUGCCGGUGGAUACUGUCGGACUAGAGUACGGAAGAGGCGAGUGGAAUUCCUGGUGUAGCGGUGGAAUGCGCAGAUAUCAGGAGGAACACCAAUAGCGAAGGCAGCUCGCUGGGACGUUACUGACACUGAGGCGCGAAAGCGUGGGGAGCAAACAGG